CUACCUGCAGUCGAGCGGAUGAAGGGAGCUUGCUCCUGGAUUCGGCGGUGGACGGGUGAGUAAUGCCUACGAAUCUGCCUGGUAGUGGGGGAUAACGUCCGGAAACGGGCGCUAAUACCGCAUACGUCCUGAGGGAGAAAGUGGGGGAUCUUCGGACCUCACGCUAUCACAUGAGCCUAUGUCGGAUUAACUAGUUGGGGGGGUAAAGGCCUACCAAGGCGACGAUCCGUAACUGGUCUGAGAGGAUGAUCACUCACACUGGAACUGAGACCCGGGCCACACUCCUACGGGAGGCACUAGUGGGGAAUAUUGGACAAUGGGCGAAAGCCUGAUCCAGCCAUGCCGCGUGUGUGAAGAAGGUCUUCGGAUUGAAAAGCACUUUAAGUUGGGAGGAAGGGCAGUAGGAUAAUACCUUGCUGUUUUGACGUUACCAACAGAAUAAGCACCGGCUAACUUCGUGCCAGCAGCCGCGGUAAUACGAAGGGUGCAAGCGUUAAUCGGAAUUACUGGGCGUAAAGCGCGCGUACGUGGUUCAGCAAGUUGGAUGUGAAAUCCCCGGGCUCAACCUGGGAACUGCAUCCAAGACUACUGAGCUAGAGUACGGUAGAGGGUGGUGGAAUUUCCUGUGUAGCGGUGAAAUGCGUAGAUAUAAGAAGGAACACCAGUGGCGAAAGCGACCACCUGGACUGAUACUG
rnacentral:rRNA from 1 species